CCUAUCGCUUUCAAUUAAUGACAAUAUACAAGCUCAACUAUGAACAAGAAACAUACUUGUUUCAACAAAGGACCCAAAAUUUUCAACUCAUCACGUACAAGAUCUCCAGUAGCAAUAUGUGGAACUCCCAAAAGGGUCGAUAGACGACGAGCAUAGGUACCUUUUCCAACACCAGGACAACCCAAGAAAACCCAUUGGACAGUUUUACCCUUAGGUUCAACGCUAUUAGUAACAGGAUUUAUGAGGGUUAAAUUGAGAUUCAAAAAUCUAAACACUCACAUAAAAAGGUAAAUCUUUUUGUCCAAGAUUCGCCCUUAAUAGACUGUACGCAAAUCUUAUCACUUUGAAUCAAUAACAAUAUACAAGCUCAACUAUGAACAAGAAACAUACUUGUUUGGACAAAGAACCCGAACUUUUCAGCUCAUCACGUACAAGAUCUCCAGUAGCAAUAUGAGGAACACCCAAAAGGGUCGAUAAACGACUAGCAUAAGUACCUUUUCCAACACCAGGACAACCCAAGAAAACCCAUUGGACAGUUUUACCCUUAGGUUCAACAUUAGUAGUAACAGGAUUACGAGGGUAAGAUUGAGAUUUCACAGUUUCCGACACAGCUGCAGUAGAAAAAUACCUACUGUAUGACGAUGAUGAUGAUGAUCGGAAUAGGCGGAUCAUGGCCGCCAUUGAUGGGUAAGUUUUU
rnacentral:lncRNA from 1 species